GUGCCCGUAGCUCAAUGGAUAGAGCGCUGGACUCCGGAUCCAGAGGCUGUGGGUUCAACUCCCACCGGGCACACCA
rnacentral:tRNA from 1 species